AGGAAACACUCCUUCCCAUUCCGAACAGGAAAGUUAAGCUCUAUAGCGCUGAUGGUACUUCAUGGGUGACCGUGCGGGAGAGUAAGACGUUGCCAGGU
rnacentral:rRNA from 1 species